UGCGGCUGUGUAGUGUGGCAACUCAAGGAGGAGCAGCACGGCGAAGUUUUUCCGUUUGUCAGCGGACGAGAGAUGUCACAUUUGGCGAAAUUACGCUAAAUAGGCUGUCCUGGCGAGGUUGACAUGUGUGCAGAUGUACAACGGCUACUGGCUCUGCUCGGAACAUUUCACAAAGAGAAACUACGCCGACCCGGCCAACGCAAGACUUGUGGCCGGCUCAGCUGACUGUUGGAGUGGAAGUGCGGCCCCUGAUCGAUAAACGUAAGGUUCUGCAUCGCCUCAGCAAAUCAAAAAGUGGAAAAUAUAUUCGCCAGGGAUCACAGGUGUCAUCAAUCGACUGGGGAAUCAUAGACAAAGAUAUCCAAAUGUGCUAAGUUAAAGAGGUGCCGAAAGAUUACCACGUUGGAAGCACUAGAGAAGUUGAUGCAUCAUGUGUGCACAGAGUUCAACGAACGCUUCCGGAGCCAGGUGGCCCUCCAUUAUUGCAAGAGGAAGAGAAGGACAUGGAGAAAUGCUUUCUGGUGUAAUUUGGCGUGGUCGCGCACUUGUGCGGUGUGACCACUGUACUGCAUUUAAGCUAG